rnacentral:rRNA from 1 species
GACGAACGCUGGCGGCGUGCUUAACACAUGCAAGUCGAACGGAAAGGCCCUGCUUGCGGGGUACUCGAGUGGCGAAAGGGUGAGUAACACAUGGGUGUUAUGCCCUGCACUUCGGGAUAAGCCUGGGAAACUGGGGCUAAUACAGGGGAGGAGCCCUUUUUAGUGUGAGGGUGGGGGAGUUUUUUCGGUUUGGGGUGGGCUCGCGGCCUAGCGGCUUGUUGGUGGGGUGAUGGCCUACCAAGGCGGCGACGGGUGGCCGGCCUGGGUGGGUGGACGGCCACAUUGGGACUGAGACUCGGCCCAGACUCCGACGGGGGGCAGAUGUGGGGAAGAUUGCACAAGGGGCGCAAGCCUGAUGCAGCGACGCCGCGUGGGGGAUGACGGCCUUCGGGUUGGAAACUCCGUUCGCUAGGGACGAAGCUUUUUGUGACGGUACCUAGAUAAGAAGCACCGGCUAACUACGUG